rnacentral:sRNA from 1 species
GAACAGACACAGAUGGCCAGUCUCGA